rnacentral:rRNA from 1 species
GGGCAAGGAAGACAGAUUCGCUGUGAUUGUGGGCCCCGUCGUUGACGACACAAGAGUUCUAAAUGCGCCUAAGCUCAACGUUGCCGCUUUGAGAUUCACAGAGUCUGCUAGAGCUAGAAUUACCAAGGCUGGCGGACAGUGCAUUACUCUGGAUCAGCUCAUUCUGAAAGCCCCCACUGGCACUAACACCGUCCUCCUCAGAGGAAACAAGAACAGAGAAGCUAAG